CAGUCGCCGCGGGAAUACGGAGGGGGCUAGCGUUGUUCGGAAUUACCGGGCGUAAAGCGCACGUAGGCGGCUUGGUAAGUUAGAGGUGAAAGCCUGGAGCUCAACUCCAGAAUUGCCUUUAAGACUGCCGAGCUAGCAGGUGAGAGAGGUAAGUGGAAUUCCGAGUGUAGAGGUGAAAUUCGUAGAUAUUCGGAAGAACACCAGUGGCGAAGGCGGCUUACUGGCUCAUACUGGACGCUGAGGUGCGAAAGCGUGGGGAGCAAACAGGAUUAGAUACCCCCGUAGUCCCUGUCUCUUAUAC
rnacentral:rRNA from 1 species